AGAGUUUGAUCCUGGCUCAGGACGAACGCUGGCGGCGUGCCUAAUACAUGCAAGUAGAACGCUGAAGACUUUAGCUUGCUAGAGUUGGAAGAGUUGCGAACGGGUGAGUAACGCGUAGGUAACCUGCCUACUAGCGGGGGAUAACUAUUGGAAACGAUAGCUAAUACCGCAUAACAGUGUUUAACACAUGUUAGAUGCUUGAAAGAUGCAAUUGCAUCACUAGUAGAUGGACCUGCGUUGUAUUAGCUAGUUGGUGGGGUAACGGCCUACCAAGGCGACGAUACAUAGCCGACCUGAGAGGGUGAUCGGCCACACUGGGACUGAGACACGGCCCAGACUCCUACGGGAGGCAGCAGUAGGGAAUCUUCGGCAAUGGGGGCAACCCUGACCGAGCAACGCCGCGUGAGUGAAGAAGGUUUUCGGAUCGUAAAGCUCUGUUGUAAGAGAAGAACGUGUGUGAGAGUGGAAAGUUCACACAGUGACGGUAACAUACCAGAAAGGGACGGCUAACUACGUGCCAGCAGCCGCGGUAAU
rnacentral:rRNA from 1 species